GCUUCGCGGGUGGGGCUGCCGGCUUCGGGAGACGCGGGUUCUCAGCCUGCACCUGAGAGUCAACACUCUGGUCCUUCAGGCUGCUCCCAGUCGGUCCCCGCCGCCAUGAACCGCUUCAAAGUGUCCAAGUUCCGGCACACGGUGGUCCGACCAUCUCGCCGUGAGGCCUGGAUCAAUGACAUUCGUGCAGGAACUACUCCCUCCUGUGGGAAUCAUAUCAAAUCAAGCUGUAGCUUGAUUGCCUUCAAUUCUGACCGUCCAGGUGUGUUGGGCAUUGUGCCUCUGGAAAGCCAAGGAGAGGACAAGAGACAGGUGGCCUACCUGGGAUGCCAUUCAGAUGUGAUCACUGACUUGGACUUCUCUCCCUUUGAUGACUUCCUCCUGGCCACCAGUUCCACUGACAGGAUGGUAAAGCUCUGGCGACUGCCAGACCCUGGCCAGGAUUUGCCCUCGGGGCCUGGAUUGGUACUGGGUCCUGAGGAGCUGCCAGUGGAAGUACUGCAGUUCCACACCACUGUGGAUGGCAUUCUGGUGACUGCAGCAGGCAGGGCUGUGAAGGUGUGGGAUGCGGCCAAGCAGCAGCCCCUGACAGAGCUGGCAGCCCAUGGAGACCUAGUGCAGAGUGCUGUCUGGAGCCGGGACGGAGCCCUUGUGGGUACUGCAUGCAAGGAUAAGCAGCUACGGAUCUUUGACCCCAGGGCAAAGCCUGAGGCCUCUCAGAGCGUGCAGGCCCACAUGAACAGCAAGGAUAGCCGGGUGGCAUGGACAGCCUCCCAGGAGCACCUUGUAUCCACUGGAUUCAACCAGAUGCGUGAGCGAGAAGUGAAACUGUGGGACACUCGACUUUUCACCAGUGCCCUGGCCUCCUUCACCCUGGAUACCUCUCCUGGGUCUCUGAUACCCCUGCUGGACCCAGACUCCGGGCUCCUGGUCCUGGCAGGAAAGGGUGAGAGUCAGCUGUACUGUUACGAGGUGGCCCUGCAGCAACCAGCACUGAGCCCAGUGACCCAGUGCAUCCUGGAGAAUGUGCUACGAGGGGCAGCCCUUGUGCCCCGGCGAGCACUAAGUGUUAUGGACUGCGAGGUACUCCGUGUCCUACAGCUGAGUGAUGCAGCCAUUGUACCCAUUAGCCACCAUGUGCCCCGGAAGACUGUAGAGUUCCAUGAGGACUUGUUCCCGGACACAACUGGCUGCAUUCCUGCCUCCAACCCCUAUACCUGGUGGUCCGGGAGCAACCAGCAGGUGCAAAAGAUCAGCCUCAACCCUGCAUGCCGGCCGUAUCCCAGUUUCACUUCCUGUCUGGUGCCCCCCACGGAGCCUCCGUCUGUCACAACCCAGCCUGCAGAGACACCAGAGGCCAACACAGACCCAAGUGAGGGCUUCUCUUCUCCUCCAAGCUUGCUGACAUCACCCUCCACACCCUCCAGCUUGGGGGCCUCACUUUCCAGCACCAGUGGCAUUGGCACCAGUCCCAGUCAGAAGUCACUGCAGAGUCUUCUAGGCCCCAGUUCCAAGUUCCGCCAUGCUCAGGGCACUGUCCUGCAUCGAGACAGUCAUAUCACCAACCUCAAGGGGCUUAACCUCACCACACCUGGUGAGAGUGAUGGCUUCUGUGCCAACCAGCUGCAUGUGGCUGUGCCUUUGCUGAGCAGUGGUGGGCAGGUAGCUGUGCUUGAGUUAAAGAAUCCUGGCCGCCUGCCUGACAUCGCACUGCCCACGCUGCAGAACAGGGCAGCUGUAACUGAUCUGGCUUGGGACCCCUUUGACCCUUACCGCCUCGCCGUGGCUGGAGAAGAUGCCCGGAUCCGACUGUGGCGGGUGCCCUCAGGGGGUCUGAAGGAUGUACUCACCACGCCAGAGGCUGUGCUCAUGGGCCACACAGAGAAAAUCUACUCUCUGCGCUUCCACCCACUGGCAGCCGAUGUGCUGGCUUCCUCUUCCUAUGACCUCACUAUCCGGAUCUGGGACCUUCAGGCUGGGGCCGAGCGGCUGAGGCUGCAGGGCCACCAAGACCAGAUCUUUGGUCUAAACUGGAGUCCUGAUGGGCAGCAGCUCGCCACUGUCUGCAAGGAUGGAUAUGUGCGGGUCUAUGAGCCCAGGAGUGGUCCUGAACCCCUUCAGGAAGGUCCAGGACCUGAGGGUGGCCGUGGAGCCCGAAUUGUCUGGGUAUGUGAUGGUUGCUGUCUGCUGGUGUCUGGCUUUGACAGUCGAAGUGAGCGCCAGCUGCUGCUGUACAUGGCUGAUGCCCUGGCCAGUGGCCCCUCAGCAGUCCUGGGCCUUGACGUGGCACCAUCCACCCUGCUGCCCAGCUACGACCCUGACACCAGCCUGGUCCUCCUCACGGGCAAGGGUGACACCCGUGUAUUUCUAUAUGAGCUGCUUCCUGAGGCUCCUUUCUUCCUGGAAUGCAACAGCUUCACUUCACCUGAUCCACACAAGGGCUUCAUCCUCCUGCCCAAGACCGAGUGUGACGUGCGGGAAGUGGAGUUUGCCCGGUGCCUGCGGUUGCGCCAAACGUCCCUAGAACCUGUUGCAUUCCGCCUUCCCCGAGUCAGGAAAGAGUUCUUCCAAGAUGAUGUGUUCCCGGACACAGCUGUGACCUGGGAGCCAGUACUCAGUGCUAAGGCCUGGCUGGGAGGUGCUAAUGGACAGCUCCAGCUGCUCAGCCUGCAGCCCCCUGGCAUGACCCCAGUGAGCCAAGCACCCCGAGAAGCCCCUACCCGGCGAGCCCCAUCCUCAGUGCAGUACCUGGAAGAGAAGUCAGACCAGCAAAAGAAGGAAGAGCUACUGAAUGCUAUGGUGGCAAAGCUGGGGAACCGGGAAGACCCACUGCCCCAAGACUCCUUUGAAGGGGUGGAUGAGGAUGAAUGGGACUAGCCUGCACACCAGUCACUUCUGGCCUCAGCUGUUGCUGCCACCUCCUAGAACCACUUUGUGCUCCUGCAUACCUCACAUCUCUCCAAACUGGAAGACAUCUCUGGCCCUGGCACACCCCAUCCCAGAAGCCCUGGUUUCCUGUGGGCUUUGGGCACUUUUGUGGCCACUGGGCUCACUUGCAAUUUCUUGAGAUUGUUUGCAUCUCUGCUUUCUCUAGGACCAGCUGCUUCUCCUCAGUUGCCUGCUAGCAUGUGAAUGGGGUUGGGAGGGAUGAGCAGCAUGUCCCUGGGCAGGCCCGGGGCUCCCUGUCUCUCCUACUCUUUCUGCUGACCCCGGCCAAUCCCAGCCUGGGCUGGCAUUGUCCAGCACUUUUGUUUACUACGUGCCAGUCAGUCUUGCCUGUUUCCCAGUUCCAGACAAAAGUAUGGGGAGCUGGCCCUCCACUAAGUCAUUUGAAGCAGCCUCCACCUCAGGGUUUGGGACCACUUGCCCUGCUUCCCAGGCUUGACGCCUGGAAAAGGAGCCUCACCAAACUGAUUGCUCGGUUGGUACAGUAUCAAUUCCACAGGGACCAGCUUGCAUACACCCUGGAUGUUUUUAACAAUUAAACUUUUUUAAGCUGGCCACUUUUUGUGUUCUCUGGUCUCUGACUAAAAAGGGGAUGGGGACACGAGUAUGUGAGAGUGGUUAGGCCCUGUGCUUCCAGUCCCAGCCUCAACUUUUCUUCUAAGGCUUUUUAGAUGCAGGCUGCUGGGAUUUCAUUUCAUUCAACACUCAGGAGCCCAGCAACAGCCUAGAUGUAUUAGCCUGCUGAAGUUAACAGGAAAGAGAGUUUUCCAGGGAGCUUAAAUUUAAUAUAACUUUGUUGCACAAGUGAACCCUGUACUGUCUGCAGGAGAACAGUGUUAAGAGAGCAUUUGAGAAGAAAGUAGUGAAAGGAUGUGAUUUAGAUUUAGAUGCAUGCCAGGAGAGUGUGGUGGUACACCUUUGUAAUGUCAGCAUCAGGAGGCUGAGGCAGGAGGAUUGCUAUAAGUUUAAGACCAGUCCGAGUUACACAGUGAGUUCAAGGCCAGGCUGAUUACAUUAAUAAGACCCUCUCACAGCAACAAAACAAAACAACAAAAAAGCCGGGGUAAGCCAGGGUAUUCAGGGAUCUGAGAGAAUGACUCAUUUAAUUUGAGAGCCAAGACCUGAAGGAGACAGCCAAACAGAGAGCCAGGAAGAAAACAUUUCAGACCAAAGGAAAGGCAGCGUAGGUGAUGGAAGAAAGAAUCUGGACAGCUAAGGAAACGGAAGGAAAGCAGGGCAGUGGUCUAUAGCAUAAUCCAAGGCAGCCCACUUUCAUCCAAUAACCAAAUAUUUGUGGGUGCUGGUCCUGUGCCAACACUCCACAGGGACAGAAUCCCUAAGUACAGAAUGCAGACUUGUGGUUUCAAGGGCUGGAGGUGAGAAGGGGUAGAGAAUGCUGAUAAGUGGUGACAUUGUUUUGAAACUAGACGUUUAUGUUAAUUGCACAGCUCUGUGAAUAUCCUAAAAGGCACUGACUGAAUUACAGAUUUUUUUUAAAGACAGGGUCUCGAAAUGUAGUUCAGGCUGACCUUAAAUUCACUGUGUAGCCUAGGCGGGGUUCGAACUCAUGGCUAUCCUUCUGUCUUAGCCUACCAAGUGCUGAGAUUCCAGGCAUGUACCACCAUGUCUGAUCAGAAUUACAGAUUUUAAGAAGGUGACUUGAGAGCUGGGUGUGGUAGCACAUUACCUAUAAUCCCAGCACUGAGAUGGCAGGAUCAUUGUAAAUUUUUAAAGCCUUGAGUUCAAGACUAGCUGAAAUUACAAAAUGAGACGGUGUCAAAAAACCACAAUAAUGCCAGGAAUAUAAGCCCAGUAGUACAAGCACCUGCCUGGCAAACACAAGGUACUCCGUUUGAUUCCUGGUACAAAAAGUAAAUAAAUAAAUAAUAGAAAGUGGGCUGGGGAUAUAGUUCAGCAGUGCAGCUCCUGCCUGACAAGUGCAAGGUCCUGAGUGGUACCCCCUCCCAGAUAAUAAUAAGCUGAGGCCAGGUGUGGUGGCACAUACCUAUAAUCCAGCUACUGAGUUGGUUGAGGCAAAAGGAUUACAAGUGUGAGGUCAGCACAGUAAGGUUUCACCUCAAAAAUAAAGGCUGGGUGUAAUUCCAGCACUGGGGUGGCUGAGGCAGGAGGAUCACUGUGAGUUCAAGGCCAGUUUAAACUGCAUAGGGAAACCCUGUCUCAAAAAAAUAAAUAUAUAAAAUAAAAUGAUCCAGAUCACAUGUGAAUUAUAUCUUAAAAAACUGUUACGAGGGCUGGGGAUAUAAUUCAGUGGCACAAGGCUUGCCUGGCAAAGUGCAAGAUCAUGAGUUGGAUCCUGGUACCAAAAAACAAAAACAAACAAACAAAAAACUGUCACCAAAAAUACACGAAGCCAGGUGUGGAGGUACUACGUACCAAUAUUGAGAUUAUCCUGAACUACACAGUGACCCUUUAUUUUAAAACACAAACCAAAAAACCGAAAGGAUGGAGGGUAUGUCACAGCACAAUGAAGAGCGUCAGGUAGACAUCCGCGAGUGUCAUCUGAGGGCAGAUGUGGAAGAAAUGAGUGUCCGUUAUCUCAUAAGCAGAAACCUUUGAAAUUCUUUUUUUUUUUUUUUUUUUGGUGCUGGGGCUCAAACUCAGGACUUCCUCGUGCUUGCCUGUGGCAGGGCUGGUGCGCCGAGCUAAAUCCCCUGCCCUGAAGUUCUUCGUUUUAUUAAAUAUUCCGGAGAAUUUGGCAUCCAACUCAAUACUGUGUCUGUUUAUUUUAUGUUUUGGUCCUAAAUAUUUUCGCGAAAUCAAAAGAAUAAACAGCCCCACAUUUGACCCAUUUCCCAGAAUCCUUACUCCUUAGUUGCUGGAGAACCACGGUCCUGCCGCGCCCUUCGCCCUUACGUGAGUCCAAUAGUCCUUUGAACCCACAGCAGGUUCCGCCCCCAAAGAGAUUCUGCUCCGCCCCGCGUACGUCACGGCCGGUGCUGGUUCCCGAGACCAUGACAAUGCGCAUGCCCAGCACUCCCUGGCGCACGCGCUCUCUGCUGUCUUUCUUAACCUCUGACCUGCCGGCCGCCCUUGAGCGAGGGCCGAGGGUCCAAGAAGCCCAAGCCCGCGGCCCGGACGCAUAGCAGUCGCCAUGAACUAUGAACACCUAUUUAAAGUGAAUGAUAAAUCCGUGGGUGGCUCCUUCUACUUGCAGUCAAAGGUCGUCCGUGCAAAGGAGCGCCUGGAUGAGGAACUCAGAAUCCAGGCCCAGGAGGACAGAGAGAAAAGGCAAACAUGACUGUUCAUCUCACCCCACCCCACCCCACACCACCGCCUCUUAAUUUAUAGCUUGGUAAUAAAUGUCUUUCCUGCA